UGGGGAAUUUUGGACAAUGGGCGCAAGCCUGAUCCAGCAAUGCCGCGUGCAGGAUGAAGGCCUUCGGGUUGUAAACUGCUUUUGUACGGAACGAAACGGCUCUGUCUAAUACAGAGACUUAAUGACGGUACCUGAAGAAUAAGCACCGGCUGACUACGUGCCAGCAGCCGCGGUAAUACGUAGGGUGCAAGCGUUAAUCGGAAUUACUGGGCGUAAAGCGUGCGCAGGCGGUUAUAUAAGACAGAUGUGAAAUCCCCGGGCUCAACCUGGGAACUGCAUUUGUGACUGUAUAGCUAGAGUACGGCAGAGGGGGAUGGAAUUCCGCGUGUAGCAGUGAAAUGCGUAGAUAUGCGGAGGAACACCGAUGGCGAAGGCAAUCCCCUGGGCCUGUACUGACGCUCAUGCACGAAAGCGUGGGGAGCAAACA
rnacentral:rRNA from 1 species